ACAAUGGGCGCAAGCCUGAUCCAGCCAUGCCGCGUGUGUGAAGAAGGCCUUCGGGUUGUAAAGCACUUUUGUCCGGAAAGAAAAGCUUAGGGUUAAUAACCUUGAGUCAUGACGGUACCGGAAGAAUAAGCACCGGCUAACUUC
rnacentral:rRNA from 1 species